AUCCAGCUGACGCGUCCCCCAACUAGGACGAAACACGCAUCCUGGAU
rnacentral:hammerhead_ribozyme from 1 species